UAAGAGCUAAGGAUCCUCUCACCUCGUUGGUCUGGACUCCGUUGGUCUUGACGUACAUGAUGCGGUAGCUUUUGGCCUUCCUGGAGGCGGAGUCCCACGUGAGCCGGGAGGAGCUGUGGUCCACGUCUGAGAAACGCAGUCUGUGUUGAAGCCCUCUUUGGCCCAGACGAGUCCCCACGUGGCCCAGGAUGUGGAGCCAGCCAAGGCCGGGCUCUGACAGCGGCGCCUCAGAGCCCGGCUCUUCCUCGCUGCUGGAAGACAUCCGUCCUGAUCCUGGAUUGAAUUGUUUUUAUUGCCGUCUGCCCGGAGGGGAAUGUGACGACGGGCGUAAUGAGGCCUGAUGGGAAACACCUCUCCUCCUCUACCUCCUCUGCUCUAUUUACCUGCAUGUUUUAAUCUCUCCAGCGUCUCCCUCCGUCAGCGGCGCGUACAGGAUCAUGUACCCAGAAGCACCGGCGGCGAUCUUCCAGCGGACCCUCAUGGUGCUGUGAGUGAUAUCGUACAACUCCAGGUCGUUCACCAUCGGCAGCGCCACUGCAGCACGACACAAAGACCAAAUAGACCAUUUCACAGUCUAUGAAGCAGACAGGAAGUAAACAUGGACCCAAGCUGUUGCCUGAAACGCUCUAUAAGUCACACACAUAAAGCACCACCACACCCCUAAACCUGUCACUAUCUAGUGUCACGUUUCAUUUGUUGCCGUAGAAACAGAGUCCAGCUGACGGCAGCAGCCAAACCCUCCAUUAACUUUGUCACAAGGUCGACUCGCAGCUUAGCAUUCAUCCUCCGCCGACCGGGAGGAAUUCCCCGUCAUUCAUCAGCGAGCGGCGGGCUGAGAGAGGCGGGAGGAAUCCUGCCAGGCUCUGGUACGGUGUUUUCAGACAUCACGACGGGGGCCUCGGGCAACACGAGAAAUAGAGCUCACCACGGGCAUCCUGUCAGUGGUGGAGGAUCGCGCCUCCGAUGCAUAAUGCAACACCUGUGCAGCUUUCAUGGCCCAAAUUCAGUGUCUUCUGCUGUGGCACAUAUAUUUUACUAUUAUUUGGAUUUUCUGACCGCUCAUGUUGCUUGACUGUAUUGUACCACAAUGUAGUAUGUUCUGAACCAUUAUACAUACUGUAUUAUUUGUA